UCCUUCUGCACCCAGAAGUACUUUUGCCUCUGCCUGCCUUGAAGCCCCUCUGCUCCAGAGGCUUUUAAAGCAGCCUGCCUGGAAACUGGUGAGCUCUGAAGUCCAUAAACCCAGAAAGGAGCAUCUGUUUGCAUGUUAGGACCUCUUUGAGUGCUACAACUUGAUGCCAUGUGGAGAAUCAGUAGCCAAUCAUGGAAACCUUCCAAACACCGGGAAAGAGUAGGACAAUCAGAAGCAGAACAACCUAAACCUUCAGAGCCAGGAAGGGGGCAAGGCUACCUUUGGGCUAAGACACUGGAGACUCCUUAGCACGGUUUGCAGGAUUCGGCUGCACUCACAGCAAACGCUUUUAUCUGAAAGGCAAGACUUGGCAGAGAUGACAACUCUAGCUGCCAUGGCCUCUGCUGAAAGGUGAAGGGUCUACGUGGAGCUGCUCUGGUUCUCUUUGCACCUCAUGCCACUGAAGCACUUUGGAGGUGAGGAUUCCUUGUAGCCAGUACUUUCAGCUGAAUUUUCUCCACCACGUUUGCCUCUGGGAGCUACCCUUCAAAACAGAAAAAGGAAAAAAAGAAAAAACACCAAAACCACCCAAACAAACAAAAAAAAACCCCUCCCACCAAACCACUUCUGUUGUUUAUUUGCUGCUGGUUUUGGAAUGGCUUGGCAGGUCUGAGUAAUGCACCAGUCUGCAGCAAAGGCUCCAGGCAGAGCAGGCAGUGUGGAAGGGCUUUGCCACCUUAGAGUGAACUUCCACUGGAAGCUCUCUUGUAUGGCCAGAGACAAAAGAGAUACUGAUAAAAUUACCUGGGGAAUGCCAUCAGUGCUCCAGUUUGCCCUAAGAGCAGCUGUUGGCUCUGUAAGGAGAAAGAAACUUCUGUGGAUUCAUCCCGCUGCUCCCCUGCAGGGGCAGAGCAAGCCCACAGAAGCAUUUAGCAGUCUGGUCACAAAGCUGAGAUGCUGAAGAAGAUUAUACUUUAAUUGCUCAUCAGCUAGAAAUCCUUUGUGCCAAAUUAAUGUGCUGGCAAUUUUGCAAGACUGGGGAUUGAAGUGAUUUCAGUAAAGACACAGAGCAGGGAUACUGUUUCACAGAUACCAGUAUCAGUUCUACACCUUAUUCUCGUGGAGAUUUAAGUAAGGCUCUUCAGUACCAAGCCAAGGCUGAGGCACUGAUUUAUCCUUCCUUACACUGAUGCCAGAGGAUGGAGAAGGGUUUCAGCUCUUGCAUUCACUCUAUCAUAACCACUGAAAAGGGUUAACAGGCAUCCCAGCGGCACCACAGCAGUGAGGAUUCUAAUGAUCACUGAAGAUACAGAGGGAACAUCUCCAUUGUGCAUGCCCUGCCCAGAGCCCAAGCAUGUUUGUGACAAGGGGUGUGGGAGCAGCAGCUUCCCCCCAAGACUGCUCACCUAGGCUGUGUACACCACAGCGCCAAAGCAGAGUGUGACUCACUCCUCUUGCCUUGCAUCAUAGCCACCAAAGCCUGUUUCCUCUACUUCCUGAGAUGGGCACAAGUUCUGUGUUGAAGGGCAAAGAGCUCUAAGGGCAAGGAGGGGACAAAGUCUUUCAAGGUAGCCUCAUCCUGAGCUGGAUGAGAGGUGCUGGAAUUGCCAUUUAAGCCCAGCAGCAGAGUGAGAUGCCAUAGCUGACCCCAGCAGGGAACCCAGCAAGCUAGUCCUGGUGCUUGGAAUAUUUCCACCUAGUAGCUGGUAAAUCUGAGUCUAAAUCAGAUCUUAGUAAGAGGGUAGAGUGCCGGUUCUGUCAGCAGCUCUAAGGUCAUUCCUGUCUACAAAGCCAAAAAAAGGCUGUGAAAGGCACAGAGGAUUUGGAUGCUGAGCUGUGUCCAACCCCACAUCAUUUGUUUUUGAUACACAGGGGGAGAGUCCUUCACAGCCCAGUCUAAGUACAGCACAGCGCCCUGGGCAUUGCCCUGAACUGCAGUACCAAGCCAGGCCGUGUUGCACAUGCAGUUGCCUUCUACAGUGCUAACUUUAGAUGGCUGUAACCUGCUGCAGCUUCCUCACUGCUGAAGGAAUUGAGUUGGCAGCCCAUUGGAAUGGGCUGCCCAGGGAGGUAGUGGAGUUGCUGUCCCUGGAGGUCUUCAAGAAAAGCCCUGGAUGAGGCACUUAGUGCCAUGGUCUAGUUGACUGGAUAGGGCUGGGGGAUAGGUUGGACUGGAUGACCUUGGAGAUCUCUUCCAACCUGGUUGAUUCUAUGAUUCUAAAUGAGCCACCCAAGAUGACACAGGCAACUGCUAACAGACCUGAGAAGAACUGAGCUGCUCCUCACAGCAGCUGGAGCUUUUGCAUUGAAUAAUGGAGACGGACAAGAUGGAAAGUGUUUAUUCAAUCCACUAAUAGAUAUCAACUAGGGUGGGCUUCAAAAGCCAUUUUGGAGGCAUCUCGCAACUCUGUAGAUGCAGUAAGAAUGCCCCUGUGUCCUGAUAAUGUUUUGAGACUUGUAGUGAAAUAUAUGAAGGCACAGAAUUUUCCCAGCCUGUGGGGGUUUGUGGGUUCAGCUUUUUAAAUAAAUACCUAUUUUCAUGUGGCCCAGGCACUGUUCUUCUAUGUAAUGCAGUUACAUCACCUCCAACUCUCAGUU